UCCCUGGUGGUCCCGUGGUUAAGACUCCGUGCUUCUGAUGCAAGGGGCACAGGUUCCAUCCCUGACCAGGGAA
rnacentral:tRNA from 1 species